AGAGUUUGAUCAUGGCUCAGAUUGAACGCUGGCGGCAGGCCUAACACAUGCAAGUCGAACGGUAACAGGAAUCAGCUUGCUGAUUUGCUGACGAGUGGCGGACGGGUGAGUAAUGUCUGGGAAACUGCCUGAUGGAGGGGGAUAACUACUGGAAACGGUAGCUAAUACCGCAUAAUGUCGCAAGACCAAAGAGGGGGACCUUCGGGCCUCUUGCCAUCGGAUGUGCCCAGAUGGGAUUAGCUAGUAGGUGGGGUAACGGCUCACCUAGGCGACGAUCCCUAGCUGGUCUGAGAGGAUGACCAGCCACACUGGAACUGAGACACGGUCCAGACUCCUACGGGAGGCAGCAGUGGGGAAUAUUGCACAAUGAGGGAAACCCUGAUGCAGCGACGCCGCGUGAAGGAAGAAGUAUUUCGGUAUGUAAACUUCUAUCAGCAGGGAAGAAGAUGACGGUACCUGACUAAGAAGCACCGG
rnacentral:rRNA from 1 species